AUUGAACGCUGGCGGCAUGCCUUACACAUGCAAGUCGAACGGUAACGCGGGGCAACCUGGCGACGAGUGGCGAACGGGUGAGUAACGCAUCGGAACGUGCCCAGUAGUGGGGGAUAGCCCGGCGAAAGCCGGAUUAAUACCGCAUACGACCUACGGGUGAAAGCGGGGGAUCGCAAGACCUCGCGCUAUUGGAGCGGCCGAUGUCAGAUUAGGUAGUUGGUGGGGUAAAAGCCUACCAAGCCGACGAUCUGUAGCUGGUCUGAGAGGACGACCAGCCACACUGGGACUGAGACACGGCCCAGACUCCUACGGGAGGCAGCAGUGGGGAAUUUUGGACAAUGGGCGCAAGCCUGAUUCAGCCAUGCCGCGUGCGGGAAGAAGGCCUUCGGGUUGUAAACCGCUUUUGUCAGGGAAGAAACGCUCUGGGCUAAUACCCCGGGGUAAUGACGGUACCUGAAGAAUAAGCACCGGCUAACUACGUGCCAGCAGCCGCAGUAAAAC
rnacentral:rRNA from 1 species